AAGAGGCAAGAGUGAUGAAUUUAUUAUUAGAUGUAUGAAGAGACAAUUCUCUCAUGAAUUGCAAUUUGAGGCUUAUUGAUAUUCUGACUUGCCAUAC
rfam:Ananas comosus cultivar MD2 ACMD2_Scaffold_8292, whole genome shotgun sequence.